UUGGCUGACUGCACAGAAAAGCCACUCCAAAAACUGACAGAAUUACAGCAAAAGAGGAAGAUCCCCGCCCCGUUUAUUAUAAGAAUUAACACUGUCUAAUCAGAUGGGAAUAGAAAAUCAUUUGAAUCAAUAAAUCUACUUAAGAGAGAUGGAGCAUCGAGGAGAGUAAAAAAAUCGAUUUUACAAUUUUUGCAUUUCUUCAAGUUUAGAAUCUGGGAAAUAUUUGGUGAAAAUUUCAAGUGAAAAUUCGAAAAAAUUACAGUACAUGUUGGCGGGGUUGGUGGGUCCUAAACGCAUGUUAUGGCCCGAACUAGAACAAACGGAAUCGAUUGAAAAAUAGAAUUUUGGCAGCUAUUAAAAAGUUAAAUUUCAAAAUGUCCCUAAUUUAGUUAACUUAACUUCGGAAAAGGGGACUUAAUGUGGAAGAAUCUCGGAAAUUCCAGUUCGUGCCAUAAUGACAAUUGUUGCGAUCAUUUUGAUAAAAAAUUGGUAAAAUCGAUUUAACGAUUCCUGAAAAAAUUAGAAUUUUUGAAAAACGUGUUUUCGAGAUAAACGCUUUCAAAGUUUCAGAAGAUGUUUGCGACCAGUUGGAAUGUAAAAACUUGUUAAGUUUAACUGCAGUCUUUUCAAGAGAAUAAAACAAACGAACAAUCUCACAGAGCAUCGGGAAAAACGUCGUGUGACAAAUAAAAUUCAUAUGACAAAUGUGUUGUUUUGUGUAUUCUUGUUAGUAGUGAACUGUAUGAAAUUUCCUGACUUGCCUUCACAAAAAAAAAAUAGUUUCAAGGGACACUUUUUGAACUGAUCAGUGAGCCAUUCCAAUUGAAGAAGGGUAUUCUCGGAGCUAUCAAUACAUUUACAAAUUUACCGGUUCAAUGUUCAAUGAUAUGUUAAGGAUAACUAGGAACAGCUUAUUCCAAAGGAGUCCAAUUUCAUUCAAAAACAGUACUAUCAGCAGACUUGCCCAAAGAGAGGGGCAGAAUACUAUUCGGCCGUACUGAAGCGUUUUUGUGAAAGAAUCGAUCAUAAAAGACCGUCAAUUUUACAGGAUAAUGUGUCAUACCUUGGCUAUUCAGGAUUUCAAUAUAAAAAGGUACAUUGUUAUAUGAUACGUGUAAAGGCACUUCAAAUUCAACAUGUUUGAUGGGGAAAUGAAGUUAUAUAAUUACAGAAGUAGAAACAAGGGAACUUUCUUCCCAUAGAGUAUCGUCACUUUUAGAACAAACAUCAUGUAAGACAAAUUUCAGCUUAAAAAAAAUCACUUCCGUCUAAUGUG